rnacentral:lncRNA from 1 species
CAAGCAAGUGUGGACCGAGUCAGCUAAGAUGGUCACUGUAGUCCAUGGAGGCCAAGAUCACCAACUUAAGUCACCGUUCUUGACCAAGAAGGACGACCCAGGAAUGCCAAGCAUUUACUGCUCCAUAAAUGGAUACAACUUCUACAAGACGAUUUGCGACACCGGAUCAGGCGUCAACAUAAUGGCCGCAGUCACCUAUCGGCUCUUGUUCGGGACCAUGCCACUAAGACCAACAUACAUUCAGCUCCAGAUGGCAGAUCAGACAUUUCGAGAAGUUAAAGGAAUAGUAU